GCUGCCGGCGCCAGAGAAUAAAAGAAGAUGGCCGUGGGGCAGGGAGGGGAUGACCAGACUUCAGCCACUCCUCCUCCUGGUCCUUUCCUUGGAAGUCCUCCUUCCCUCAGACCCACUGAACAUGGCCUUGGAACCCACGUAGCAUUCCAGUCCCAGGCCUGAAGUCUUCUCACUGCCCCUCAAUUGGACCCACCUUUUUCACCCAGCGCCUAACAGCUGAAUAGCUGCUCAGAUCUUGAAACAUACUCCAACCUAGAAGAUGUCUAGAAGUCAGGUGGGGUCAAAGAACAGGCCUCUACCCACAUUUAUGUGGAUAAACGAAGUCACAGCACAAGUCACCUACCCCACGUGGAAGACAGAUCCGCCAGCACUGUCUCCUGCUUGUCUGCUGAACCUGACAUGUGAACCCCCAUCUGGAUGUGGGGCUGGGGAGGUGGUUCCCGCCUGUCCCAGAGGCCCACCUAUUGUCCCUACACAGACAUGGGGUCCAGUAGCAACCCCCGCUGCUGCCUCUCCAAGAAAACGUGACCCAAAGAGCCCUGGCCACUCUCCAGGUGCUGACCAGGUGCCUGUUACUCUCAACAGACCUCCAUCGCCGCCAGAUACAGGCCCUCCUCCACUUUGCAGGCCGUCCAUACCACCCCCUCAGCCACUGCCUGCUACCUCCCCCUCCCCACAAGGCACUGUCCCAGCGCAGGGGCUUUCCUACUUUCACGAUUUGUCCCUGAAGCUGACAUCCUUCAGCCCCGAGAAAGUCAUCUUUCAGGUGGUUAGCCUUACUCACAGGAUGCUCCACAGGAUCCUCAGAGGCCUCCAGCCGGACACAAAUCAUGACCUGGUUGCUUGUGACUAUAUAACAUCCAGCUGAAGACUAGCAGGGGGGUACUCUUUCUGCCCCCUUCUGAUGCCUAUGUCAGAAGCUUUCUCUAUCUCCUUACACUUUAAUAAAACUUUAUUACACAA
ensembl:lncRNA